rnacentral:rRNA from 1 species
UACGUAGGUGGCAAGCGUUGUCCGGAAUUAUUGGGCGUAAAGCGCGCGCAGGCGGUCCUUUAAGUCUGAUGUGAAAGCCCACGGCUCAACCGUGGAGGGUCAUUGGAAACUGGGGGACCUGAGUGCAGAAGAGGAAAGCGGAAUUCCACGUGUAGCGGUGAAAUGCGUAGAGAUGUGGAGGAACACCAGUGGCGAAGGCGGCUUUCUGGUCUGUAACUGACGCUGAGGCGCGAAAGCGUGGGGAGCAAACAGG